ACCAGGACCCGUGGCGCGUGCCUGGAGUCCCAGCUACUCGGGAGGCUGAGGCUGGAGGAUCUCUUGAGUCCAGGAGUUCUGGGCUGUAGUGUGCUAUGCAGAUCGGGUGUCUGCACUAAGUUCGGCAUCAAUAUGGUGAUCUCCCGGGAGUGGGGGACCACUAGGUUGCCUAAGGAGGGGUGAACCGGCCCAGGUCGGAAACAGAGCAGGUCAAAACUCCUGUGCUGAUCAGUAAUAGGAUCGCGCCUAUGAAUAGUCACUGCACUCCAGCCUGGGCAACAUAGCAAGACCCUGUCUCU
rnacentral:SRP_RNA from 1 species